AUUGAACGCUGGCGGCAGGCCUAACACAUGCAAGUCGAGCGGUAGAGAGAAGCUUGCUUCUCUUGAGAGCGGCGGACGGGUGAGUAAUGCCUAGGAAUCUGCCUGGUAGUGGGGGAUAACGUUCGGAAACGGACGCUAAUACCGCAUACGUCCUACGGGAGAAAGCAGGGGACCUUCGGGCCUUGCGCUAUCAGAUGAGCCUAGGUCGGAUUAGCUAGUUGGUGGGGUAAUGGCUCACCAAGGCGACGAUCCGUAACUGGUCUGAGAGGAUGAUCAGUCACACUGGAACUGAGACACGGUCCAGACUCCUACGGGAGGCAGCAGUGGGGAAUAUUGGACAAUGGGCGAAAGCCUGGUCCAGCCAUGCCGCGUGUGUGAAGAAGGUCUUCGGAUUGUAAAGCACUUUAAGUUGGGAGGAAGGGCAGUAAAUUAAUACUUUGCUGUUUUGACGUUACCGACAGAAUAAGCACCGGCUAACUCUGUG
rnacentral:rRNA from 1 species